ACCGUACUCCUACGGGAGGCAGCAGUGGGGAAUUUUGCGCAAUGGGCGAAAGCCUGACGCAGCAACGCCGCGUGGGGGAUGACGGCCUUCGGGUUGUAAACUCCUUUCGACAGGGACGAAGCUUUUUGUGACGGUACCUGUAUAAGAAGCACCGGCUAACUACGUGCCAGCAGCCGCGGUAAUACGUAGGGUGCGAGCGUUGUCCGGAAUUACUGGGCGUAAAGAGCUCGUAGGUGGUUUGUCGCGUCGUCUGUGAAAUUCCGGGGCUUAACUCCGGGCGUGCAGGCGAUACGGGCAUAACUUGAGUGCUGUAGGGGAGACUGGAAUUCCUGGUGUAGCGGUGAAAUGCGCAGAUAUCAGGAGGAACACCGAUGGCGAAGGCAGGUCUCUGGGCAGUUACUGACGCUGAGGAGCGAAAGCAUGGGUAGCGAACAGGAUUAGAAACCCCAGUAGUCCUUGAC
rnacentral:rRNA from 1 species